AUUGAACGCUGGCGGCAGGCCUAACACAUGCAAGUCGAGCGGAUGAAGGGAGCUUGCUCCUGGAUUCAGCGGCGGACGGGUGAGUAAUGCCUAGGAAUCUGCCUGGUAGUGGGGGAUAACGUCCGGAAACGGGCGCUAAUACCGCAUACGUCCUGAGGGAGAAAGUGGGGGAUCUUCGGACCUCACGCUAUCAGAUGAGCCUAGGUCGGAUUAGCUAGUUGGUGGGGUAAAGGCCUACCAAGGCGACGAUCCGUAACUGGUCUGAGAGGAUGAUCAGUCACCGUGGAACUGAGACACGGUCCAGGCCCCUACGGGAGGGAGGGGGGGGGAAUUUGGGGAAAUGGGCGAAAGCCUAAUCCAGCCAAGCCGGGGGGGGGAAGAAGGUCUUUGGUUUGUAAAGCACUUUAAGUUGGGAGGAAGGGCAGUAAGGUAAUCCCUUGCUGUUUUGGCGUUACCAACAAAAAAAGCCCCGGCAAACUUCGU
rnacentral:rRNA from 1 species